rnacentral:rRNA from 1 species
GAUGAACACUGGCGGCGUGCCCAAUACAUGCAAGUCGAGCGAACAGACGAGGAGCUUGCUCCUCUGACGUUAGCGGCGGACGGGUGAGUAACACGUGGAUAACCUACCUAUAAGACUGGGAUAACUUCGGGAAACCGGAGCUAAUACCGGAUAAUAUAUUGAACCGCAUGGUUCAAUAGUGAAAGACGGUUUUGCUGUCACUUAUAGAUGGAUCCGCGCCGCAUUAGCUAGUUGGUAAGGUAACGGCUUACCAAGGCAACGAUGCGUAGCCGACCUGAGAGGGUGAUCGGCCACACUGGAACUGAGACACGGUCCAGACUCCUACGGGAGGCAGCAGUAGGGAAUCUUCCGCAAUGGGCGAAAGCUUGACGGAGCAAUGCCGCGUGAGUGAUGAAGGUCUUCGGAUCGUAAAACUCUGUUAUUAGGGAAGAACAAAUGUGUAAGUAACUAUGCACGUCUUGACGGUACCUAAUCAGAAAGCCACGGCUAACUACGUG